GACGAACGCUGGCGGCGUGCUUAACACAUGCAAGUCGAACGGAAAGGCCCUGCUUUUGUGGGGUGCUCGAGUGGCGAACGGGUGAGUAACACGUGAGUAACCUGCCCUUGACUUUGGGAUAACUUCAGGAAACUGGGGCUAAUACCGGAUAGGAGCUCCUGCUGCAUGGUGGGGGUUGGAAAGUUUCGGCGGUUGGGGAUGGACUCGCGGCUUAUCAGCUUGUUGGUGGGGUAGUGGCUUACCAAGGCUUUGACGGGUAGCCGGCCUGAGAGGGUGACCGGCCACAUUGGGACUGAGAUAGGGCCCAGACUGCUACGGGAGGCAGCAGUGGGGAAUAUUGCACAAUGGGCGGAAGCCUGAUGCAGCAACGCCGGGUGCGGGAUGACGGCCUUCGGGUUGUAAACCGCUUUCGCCUGUGACGAAGCGUGAGUGACGGUAAUGGGUAAAGAAGCACCGGCUAACUACGUG
rnacentral:rRNA from 1 species